AUCACUGAUGGAUGAGAGCCACAGGAAAAGGCCAAACGAUCUGUCCAGUGAAGAUGCUGUGUGAGGCUGCUUUGAGAUGCUAACAGAGCUGCUUUACAAACCCAGCAACCAGCAGUGGGAAUCUGUGACCUGAAAGCUGAUCACAGGCACGGGAUGAAAUUUCUCUGGCAUUGUGGACCUUCUUUUAAUACCCUGCUGGAGAGGGCUCAGGGAAUUCAUCCCUCACCCAGGCGCUGAGCGUCCCUUUGCUCUCCGCUGUGCCCCCCUGAGGUGGUGCCGCCCUCCAGCCACAUUUCCUUCACAAUUUGUCAGUGUCACCAUUCACGGCUGGCAGGGCCUGCACAGUGCUCCAGGUUAUGCUUUUCCCUCUCUGGUAGCCUCAGCCUUGCUUUUCCAGAGGGCUGGGCUCUCCAGAGUCUGGAUUCUGCAUCACGGCACACGUUUCUUCCAAAGAGGCUGUUGGUCCUACGGCUGGAAUUGCAGAGCUGUCUGUCAGGGGUGUGGAGUGAAUGUUAAAUUGCCAGCAGCAAAUUUCUGCCCCAAAAUAAACCUCAGAUGGUCAAAAUGCAUCUAGAUUUCUGAUGCCAUUAAACAGCUUCAUGACAAUCAAAACGCACUGGUCUGUCUAAACCCUCUUCUGCUCUCUAGAAACCGAAGUGAAAAUUGUAGGCAUUAAAUCUGCAUUUUCAAUUGCUGUUCUUCUUAACUGUACCUUUAAU